ensembl:lncRNA TTTY22 testis expressed transcript, Y-linked 22
AUAGAGACCUCCGUGGAGAUGGGUCAGCAGUGUACUCUCACCUGUCUUCUAGGUGGGAUCCACUGGAUUAUUUCAUUGUCCUAGGAAAGGCCAGACAUGAGCCAGCAUGAAGAAACAUCAAGCAGAACCCUAGGAAUAAAAUGCAAAAUCCCUAUGGAUCCAAGAAAAUCUGCAGGAUUCCUCAGGCCUCACUAGACGUUGUAGGAGACAAUACGAGGUGUGAGAACACUGUUUCACCUUGGACUUUCCUUCAUCUUGGUUCCUGCCUUUCCCAGAGAGCCUCUGUGAGGCCAAGGAUAAAGGGAGACAGUGAGGUCAAGAGUCCGGCCAUCCUUCACUGACAUCUGCAUCUAUGGUCUCAGGGUUUCCUGCAUCUGGCUCAAUGACUUCCACACUAAGCAUUUCCCAGUUCAUGGAGAACGACACUCAUUGGAAUCCACUACGAGGCUUUUGGGUCCUCUGACAGGAAUCAUCGAAGAUUGCCUGAUGCCAGCACAAGGCAGCUCAUUGUCUCAGUGGCUCUUGAUGGUACUGCUGGACACCCUUUUCAGGAUUGCUAUCACCACAGACGGCCUUUGAGACACUGACUCAACAUCAUCUGCAACUGUGAGAAGCCAAUCAGAGGUGUGAGAACACAGCUCCACCUUGGUCUUGCCGUUGUCAUGGUUACUGCCUUUCCCUGAGAGCCUCUGUGAGGCCCAGGAUGAAGAGAGACAGUGUGGUAAAGAGAACAACCAUCUUUCACUGACGCCAGCCUCUGGGGUCUCAGCCCUUCUUGGGAAUGGAGUUAGAAGAGCAUAUUCCAGCGAUAACCUCACAGUCAUGAAAUGGUUCUUCCUCCAGCGUGACCCAACCAUGGUGAUGGUCAUAGGAGUCCUAAGGAUGAAAUCCCAAGACGAUGGAGGAGUGUCACCUCACAACAUGAAGCACCCACUCAGCUGUGAACCAAAUUCGAGGAUCAUGGGACUAUACUGUGGAUCCCACAAAAAAGACAGUUCAUUAAAUACACAAAGGUAGGACUGCUACAGGAAGAAAGUGGUGGAGUCAGAGGUCACAAUCCAAAGCAAGGUGACAGUCUCUUGAAGAAGACACCCUGAGUGCUGAAUUAAGGAUUGAGGCCAUCAAGCUACAGUUGAUCUUACAAAUGGAACCCCAAUGAGCUCAACUAAUAACUUCUACCAAGGAACCUGGAUCAACCCACUGGCCCUUUGGCUGGCCUAGAAUAUUCCCCUCUGGAGGACACUACCACCAGAGACCCCUUCUUUACCUCUAUCCAGCAUCUCCUUUUUCAGAUCGGCUUCUGCCACCAUCUCCUAUAGAUGUCACAUAACUUGAGCUACCAUAGGCUUCACAAGGAGCAGUGUGCACCCUGUCCAGAGAAAAUGGAUUCCUUCCGUCUUUUCUGCCACUGUGCUCACAACCGCAGGAAUAAAAAUUACUGCAGCUUCUUAGUUGCAUAACCAACAUCUUUUGAUGACACAUGGUCAUUUCUCCAGGAAAAGACUGACUGUCUCUGUGGAGGAACUCCAUAAUUCUCUCUUCCAUUACAUUUAAUAUUAAAAUGAUGGAACAUAAUGUAAAGAACACGAAA